AGGAAACAUGGUUGUUAGAAGGGCUCCUUAUGUUCUUCAGAAGCUACUCAAUCAAUAUAGACCUAAUAUGGGGGUGCCUGGGUGGCUCAGUGGGUUAA